rnacentral:rRNA from 1 species
AACGUAGGACGCAAGCGUUAUCCGGAGUUACUGGGCGUAAAGCGCGGGCAGGCGGCUCGAUGCGUCCGAUGUGAAAGCGCCCCGCUUAACGGGGCGAGGCCAUUGGAAACGGUCGGGCUGGAGGGCAGUAGAGGCAGGCGGAAUUCCGGGUGGAGUGGUGAAAUGCGUAGAUAUGACAUAGAACACCAAUUGCGAAGGCAGCUCACUACGGGAUUAUUGACACUGAGGCACGAAAGCGUGGGGAUCAAACAGG